rnacentral:rRNA from 1 species
CCCUUAGAUGUUCUGGGCCGCACGCGCGCUACACUGACGAAGUCAGCGAGCAUGUCCUACGCCGACAGGUGCGGGGAAUCUUGUCAAACUUCGUCGUGAUGGGGAUUGAUUAUUGAAAUUCUUGAUCAUCAACGAGGAAUUCCUAGUAAGCGCAAGUCAGCAGCUUGCGUUGAUCACGUCCCUGCCCUUUGUACACACCGCCCGUCGCUACUACCGAUUGAAUGGUUUAGUGAGAUCUUCGGAUUGGCGCCACUGCGGCUCAGCAAUGGGCUCGGUGGAUGCCGAAAAGUUGAUCAAACUUGAUCAUUUAGAGGAAGUAAAAGUCGUAACA